rnacentral:rRNA from 1 species
CCUACGGGAGGCAGCAGUGAGGAAUAUUGGUCAAUGGGCGGGAGCCUGAACCAGCGAAGUCGCGUGAGUGAAGACGUUCCUAUGUAUUGUAAACCUCUUUAGGCGGGGAGCAAUUCCGGGCACGCGUGCACGGAGCGCUAGUACCCGCAGUAUAAGCAUCGGCUAACUCCGUUCCAGCAGCCGCGUUAAUACGGGGGAUGCGAUCUUUAUCCGGCUUUAUUGGGUUUAAAGGAUACGUAGGCGGAUGUGUAAGUCAGCGGUAAAAUGUCCGGGAUAAACCCGGGCCGGCCGUUGAAACUGGGGAGCGUGAGUGGGCGAGAAGUAUGCGGAAUGCGUGGUGUAGCGGGGAAAUGCAUAGAUAUCACGAAGAACACCGACUGCGAAGGCAGCAUACCGGCGCCCGACUGACGCUGAGGCACGAAAGCGUGGGGAUCGAACAGGAUUAGAUACCCCUGUAGUC